AGAGUUUGAUCAUGGCUCAGGAUGAACGCUAGCGGCAGGCUUAACACAUGCAAGUCGAGGGGUAGAGGCUUUCGGGCCUUGAGACCGGCGCACGGGUGCGUAACGCGUAUGCAAUCUGCCUUGUACUGAGGGAUAGCCCAGAGAAAUUUGGAUUAAUACCUCAUAGUAUAUUGAUGUGGCAUCACAUUAUUAUUAAAGAUUUAUCGGUACAAGAUGAGCAUGCGUCCCAUUAGCUAGUUGGUGUGGUAACGGCACACCAAGGCAAUGAUGGGUAGGGGUCCUGAGAGGGAGAUCCCCCACACUGGUACUGAGACACGGACCAGACUCCUACGGGAGGCAGCAGUGAGGAAUAUUGGACAAUGGGCGCAAGCCUGAUCCAGCCAUGCCGCGUGCAGGAUGACGGUCCUAUGGAUUGUAAACUGCUUUUAUACAGGAAGAAACCCUACUACGUGUAGUAGAUUGACGGUACUGUAGGAAUAAGGAUCGGCUAACUCCGUGCCAGCAGCCGCGGUAAUACGGAGGAUCCAAGCGUUAUCCGGAAUCAUUGGGUUUAAAGGGUCCGUAGGCGGUUUUAUAAGUCAGUGGUGAAAUCCGGUAGCUCAACUAUCGAACUGCCAUUGAUACUGUAGAACUUGAAUUACUGUGAAGUAACUAGAAUAUGUAGUGUAGCGGUGAAAUGCUUAGAUAUUACAUGGAAUACCAAUUGCGAAGGCAGGUUACUAACAUUAUAUUGACGCUGAUGGACGAAAGCGUGGGGAGCGAACAGGAUUAGAUACCCUAGUAGUCC
rnacentral:rRNA from 1 species